UCCCAGUCAGUGCCCUGUCUUCCUAGCCCCCCUGAAGUUUCUAUCCAUCUCUAGAGAGACCUGCCAGCAGCUCCCCCCUACACCCCCACCCUCAAGGGAGUGCGUGUGUUUGCUGAACUCUGGUGCUGUGUUUACCAUCUGGGUGGAUCUCAUUUCAUUGCCUCUUCUCUUGUAGUUUUUGGCGUCUCGGCCAUUGUCCUGCCUGGGGCCUGCCCCAGUCCCGUGCUCUGUGGCCCAUCACUGUGAGGUCCCUUGUUUCUGGCAGCAGGCUUGCUGCUAGAGGCAGAGAACGGUGGCAUCAGUGAUUGCAGUGAAGAAAUCACUUUCUGGUAAAUUCCCUUGGUGAAGCCACGUGUAACCCGCGUGGACAACUGGAGGUCCAUAAGCCAUUCAGCAGGACCUCAUGGGCACAAGUGGAGUUCUGCCUGAAUUCCUGCCUGAGGCGGGGCCACAUGGGAUGUCCCUGGAGGUCCAGUGGUGAAGACACCAAGCUUCUGCUGCAGGGAACAUGGGUUCAGUCUCUGGUGGGGGAAUCAAGACCCC
ensembl:lncRNA